UGUAAUGCAAAUUGAUAAACACUUGUGUUGUCCUCAUAUGUGCGUAUAACUACAUUAUAGUGUGUAAUAAAAUGUUUAGUGAAUGUUUAAAGGGGCUGUCCUCGAAAUACUGAAUAAGAACAGCAGGCAGGGAUUGCCUCCACACGGCUCUCACAGACUGUUACGCAAUAUCUAAAAUAACUACGUUUUUUCACGGCCACAUGCAAUAAAACGCAUGCGUGGCCGGACUGGCUAUCAUAACAAAGAACAGAGAAACUCUGAUUACAACACACAUAGAAGGAGUGUGACUCUAUAAUGAUUUAAAGUCCCUCCCCUUCCGGUGGACCACCAUGGGACCUUAUUUUGGAGAAAAUAUGUAUGGUAGUGAGCAGAGAGAGUGUGUGUGUGUGUGUGU